rnacentral:lncRNA from 1 species
GAGAGAGCAGUGAUGGAGAGAUUGUGUGAGUAUCUUUCCAUUCGAUGUACUUUUUUUGCUUAAGCACUACUAGCAGUUAUUUUUGUGAAUGGGGUUGAAGGGUUGGGAGAAUAAAUUGUGGAUGGCUUCUCUGUGUGUGGCAGCUAUCAACACUUGAGUGUUAUUGCAACCGUAGGGUUUGUGUGUGUCUAGAUUUGAGGUGGGAAAUACUGAGGUUUUGUGUUCCUGUUUUUCUUUAAGUUGAAAAAUACUGUGGGUUUUUGUUUUUGUUAGUUUGGCUACUGUAAGAACAGGAUGCUGGACCAGAUGGGACUUUGGCCUGACUCAGCCAAAUCUUCUGCUGUGGUGAAUGUACUGUUUAUGCAAAGACUGUCUGUUGUGGAAUCACCUUAUUAACUACAAACAAGUUCUUCAUUGUUUGAGGAAGGUGCACCCUGUUGCAUGCUCCUGGGAUUUAUUUAUGAGGCUCAUAGUUCCUAAUUAUGUCUCCUCUCCUCAAGUAUGUGAAAGGAGGUUGUGGUUUGCAAGGAGGAGUUGAUAUUAUAAGUUAAACCCCUUAGGCUUCAUCACACUAACUUCUCCAUAAGUCAAUUGGCAAGAGCCUCCUUGUCUCCAUACAUUUAAAAAAGAAAGACAAUAGAUAGAGGAUCUGGAGACUUAAAAGUCUUCCUCUGUCACUGGCGGUGUGUGGUACAUUUCUCUCAUAUUCUUUCAAUCAAAGGGGUUGCUAUUUAGCCAUGACUUAGAGCAGAAAUGAAACAAUACUCAGUUGGCACUUUAGAGGCUAGCAAAUGCAUUUUAUUCCAUAUUCCGGUGAGGAAGACGUAGAAAUGAGUAAGCUGUGGAAGGGAGUAAUAUUUUUCCAUAGCUCUGGAAAUUAAUAGGGUCCCUUAUUAAAAGUACUGUGGGGUAUCUUUAAUAUUAACCCAUUCAUGCUGCAAUCCUGUACAUUCUUAUUGGGAAGCAAUCCCCAUGGAAUUCAGCCAUGUUUACCUCUGGAUAACAAGCAGUUGUGGCAUGAGUCCACACUAGAAAUUAUGGCAGCAGGGCCUCAUUCCGAACACUUGGGUGAUAAGUAUUAACAAAGCUGCUAUGAUUAUGCGUCCCCUGUUUCUUUGCAAAGGAUGAGGACAUGGAGAGAAUCAGAGCAGGUGGAGAAGAAAACAACUUUUCUCCCAGCAAAGAAGCAAUUGUGACUUGAGGGGCCCCUUCUGAACAAAAGUAAGACAUUCUCAGCUUAUAGUUAGGUGCUAAGCAUUGCUGCUUUACAAAUAGUUAAGGGACCCACCAUGGUCUCUGAAAUAUACUCAGAGUCGCAAAGUGAUUUCAUGCUCUUUAUUCAGCUCAUAGUUGUGAGGAGGAAUGAAUGAAUGUCCCCUCAAAGUAUCUGCUUUAUAUACAUUAUUUACACAAUGGGCUGCACAUGAUUGGUUAAUUCUGGAAUUCUACUGUAAGCCAAUCAGGUUGUGGAUUCAUUUAUAUCUGGAGCAUGAUUGGGUGGUUCCUGCCAACCAAUCAUACUGCUGCAUUGUUCUUGGACCAAUCAGACUGCUGCAAUUUGGAUCCUAUUGUUCUAGGACCAAUCAGACUGCUGCAGUUUGGAUCCUAUUCAACUCAGUACAUAACACCCCUCCCCUCUAAGUUCCAGUCCUGCCCGGGAGGUCGCAUUCAUAGUCCUCGAGGUACGCCGGCGGCCUACAUGUGCGUUGCGGCCUGUGGUGUUCCCUGGUCCGGGGUUCAGGUUCUGGCUCGUGUUCCAAGGAUGCUGGCUGUGAUGGGCCUGUUUGGUCUGGCGCAACCGGCUCGCUCAGUCGUGGUUCUGGUUCCGGUGUCCUUUCGGCCUCGCGGGUCCUCUCUGUAUUUACUGAUUCUGCCUCUCCUGCUGGCCCCUCCUGCUCUAUGGGCCUCACUGCCCCUCUGUUCCCUUGGGACUCCUCUGACCUUUCCUCCUCCUGGUUUUCUCCUGGGAAUCGUCGCCGUAUCUGGUCGCAGUGGCGGCGCCAGCAUUGCCCCCCAUCCGUUAGCACCUCGUACGACACGGGGCCAGUGACCCUGGUGACUGUGGCGGGUACCCAUGCUGGGCCUGCCCCAAAAUUAUUUGCGUACACUGGGUCCUGGGCCUCGAAGGUCCAGGGGUUCCUGCCUUCCCCCACCACUACCUCAUCCUGAGCUCUAUCGGGGUGAAGGCGGUCCAAUCUGAUUGCAAGGCGCCGACCCAUUAGUAGUUCAGCGGGGCUCCGGCCAGUCGUUGAGCUGGGGGUGCUGUGCUGUGCUAGGAGGAAUGUGGCAAGGCGGUACUCCCAAUCCCCUUGCGUCAUGCGGCGAAGGGUGUCCUUGGUGGUCCGCACCAUGCGUUCUGCUUGGCCAUUGGUGGCAGGGUGGAAUGGCGCCGAACGGAUGUGGCGGAUGGCGUUCUGCGCUGUGAAGGUUUGGAAUUCUCCUGACGUAAAUGCAGUCCCGUUGUCUGAGACGAGAGUGUCAGGGAGCCCGUGGGUUGCAAACAGCCUGCGUAGUACCCAGAUGGCUGCGGAUGUAGAAGUGGACGGUACCAGUGCGACUUCCAGCCAUUUGGUGUAGGAGUCCACCACUAUGAAGAAUGUUUUCCCCUGAAAGGGGUCAGCGAAGUCCACAUGCAGGCGUGACCAUGGUGCUCGGGCGGACUCCCAGGACUGGACUGGGGCCCUUGGGGGAUCUGGGCGGGAUUCUUGGCAGGCCCAGCAGUGUUUGACCCAGGCCUCUAUCUCUCCGUCGAUCCCUGGCCACCACACAUAACUCCUGGCAAGGGCCUUCAUUCUUACUGCCCCUGGGUGUGUCUCGUGUAGGGCUGUGAGGACCCUUUUGCGGAGGGGCUGGGGAACAACGACCCUGCUUCCCCAUAACAGGCACCCCUUGUGGGCCGACAGUUCAUGUUUGCGGGUUGUGUAGCCAGCGAAUUCUGGCCCAGGGCUGCUGCUGGGCCAUCCCUCCACACCCAGUCCAGGACCCGGGAGAUGACCCUAUCUUUCUUGGAAUGGUGUGCAACUUCUUGUGCCUGAAUGGGGCGGUCGGGAAGCAGCUCCAGGCUCAUAACCUCUUGUGCAGGUGCUGGGUCGGGGCCUGUUUCCGGUAGUGGUAGCCUGCUGAGGGCGUCCGCAUGGCCCAUUGCCUUCCAGUGCAUACUGGUAGCUGGCAAGGAAAAUUGACCACCUGAGGACGCAAGGAGACAGCACUUGGGGGGUCUGCUUUUCGGGGGGCAAACAAGCCAAGCAACGGCUUGUGGUCAGUCACCACGGUGAAGGGCCGCCCGUACAAGAAAUCAUGGAAUUUUUUUACUCCCUUCACGAUUGCCAGACCCUCCUUGUCUAUUUGCGAGUAGUUCCGCUCGGUUGCGUUGAGUGUCUGGGAAAAGUAUGCCACCGGUACCUCUCUUCCAUCCGGGAGUUGGUGUCCCAGGACAGCGCCAAUGCCAUAGGGUGAGGCGUCACAUGCUAGCACCACCGGCAGCCUCUCGUCGAAGUGUGCCAAGACUGAGUUUGAGACAAGCAAGUCCUUGACUGCCUGGAAUGCAGCCUCCUGGCGCUGGCCCCACACCCAAGGGGCCCGCUUGUCCAGGAGUCUGUGUAGGGGCUCUGCUACUGCCGCCUUGUGGGGAAGGAAGGAAUGGUAAAAGUUCAAUAGUCCCAAGAAGGCCUGAAGUUCAGUCUUGCUCUUGGGCGCUGGGGCAUCACAAAUGGCCCGUACCUUGUCCCCAGUCGGGUGGACCCCUUUUGCGUCCACCAUAAAUCCCAGAAAGUCCACCUAAGGCACUCCUAGUAGACAUUUUUCCCGCUUCACCUUGAGACCCGCCAUCUGGAAACGGUGCAGAACGGUGCGGAGGCGGUCCUCAAACUCCUCUGGUGUGGGCCCCGCAAUCAACACAUCAUCGAAGAAGGGGGUGACGCCAGGAAUCCCUUUAAGGAGCGAGUCCAUUAGAUUCUGGAAUAUGCCUGGUGCCACACUGACACCGAAUUGCAGCCGCUUUACCCUGAAUGCUCCUCUGUGCGUCACAAUCGUCUGUGCCUCUGCUGUGGCCUCAUCUACUGGCAGCUGUUGAUAUGCUUGGGCCAAGUCCAGCUUGCCAAAAAUUUUCGACCCAGCCAGGGUGGCAAGGACAUGGCUGACCACUGGCACUGGGUAUGCAUGGGCCGUGAGGGCCUUGUUUAUGGUACAUUUGUAGUCUGCGCAGAUGUGGACCGAACCAUUAGGCUUGACGGGUGUGACGAUUGGGGUUUCCCAGGGGGCAUUAGGCACCGGCUCCAGCAGUCCUUGCUCCACGAGCCGGUCCAAUUCUUCGUCUAUACGGGGUUUCAGGGCGAACGGGACCCGGCGGGCCUUGAGCCUGACCGGUCGUACUGCGGGGUCAAGCUGUAGAGCAAUGGGGGGGCCGUAUACUGUCCCAAUUUCGCAUCGAAAACCCCUGGAAAUUCCUUGCAGAUGGCGUCCACGUCCACUUGUAAGGUAGUGUGGUUCACCCCAGUGAUGGCUAGCCCCAGUGGUCCAAACCAUGCCAAUCCCAGUAAGCUAAUGUAGGGGCCCUUGACCACAAGCAAGUCCAGUUGCCGCGUCCGCCCUCGGUAUUGCACCCUGAAGGUCCCCACCCCCAUUGUGGGGACCUUACGUUUCUGGAAGUCCCGGAGGGUGAAUGGGGCCGGCCUGAGUUUGGGACCCCCAGUAGGACACAGUUUCCUUAAGGUCCUUGCCGAGAUUAUGGAUAGAGUUGAACCCGUGUCAAGCUCCAUGCGGCAUGGGGCCCCCUCUAUCUGCACCUCUACAUAAAUUUUCUCUACGUUGGGGUGGGGCAACUGGUAUACCUGGAAGUCCGUGAGCUCCGUAGAGUUGCCUUGGUGCGUUGGGCCCCGGGACCUGGGGCUCUUGGAUUGGUCAUCUGAUGCCUGGCGUCGGGUGGGCCGAGCUCGACACACCCGGGCAAUGUGUCCCAAUUUUCUGCACUGCCUGCACUCUGCGUUGCGGAAACGGCAGGUCCUCCUCUCUUGACUUUCCCCGCAGCUUGCGCAGUUCCCUCCUUGUCGUCGAGGCAGCUGUGGUAUGUGGGCUGCUUGAGUGUGCUGCUGCACUCGGUGCACCUCCUCCCUGUCAGAUCCUGAGUCGUCGGUGAGGUCUUCAUGGUGGACCCUCGGUUGGGAUGGCAGGCUCAGCCGUGCCUCUUGCGUCGACCUCUUGGCAGCUUCCGUUGCCAGGGCCUCCUCCAGAGCGACCUGGAACGUUAGGUCCUUCUUGGCGUAGAGGCGUCGUUGCAGCUUCUCAUCCUUCAGGCCACCGACGAGGCGGUCACGAAGCAUGUUCUCCAGCUCUGAGAAGUUGCAGAACCGGGCAGCUUGGCGGAGAGAGGUCACAAACCCAGUUAUGGUUUCCCCAGGGGCUUGCCUCUUUGCGUAGAAGGCAUUUCGACGAGCCACCACUGAGGGCUGCGGCGAAAAGUGCCCCUUCAGCUGUUCCAUUAUUGUUUUGUAUGGAACAGUAGCGACGUCUUCAGGUGCAAGGAGAGCCCGGGCGAUUUCAAAUGUCUCCUCUCCGCAGAUGCUGAAGAAUAUCGCCCUCUUCUUGGCGUCUUCUUCAUCGGUGACCCCUUUGGCUUCUAGGAGGAAGGUGAAACGGGAGGCGUACGCUUCCCAGUCUCCAGAUGCUGGGUUGAACGGCGAGAAGCUGCUGUCGGUUGCCAUUCUGAGUUCCUUGUGUCCCGGAGCUGAAGCCUGGAUACACGGUGCGAGGCAGCGGUGCGGCAGGUGGCGGUGCUGCGGUGCUAUGUGUGGCAGUCAGCUCAGCGGGAUCCCAUCUUCAUCGCCAGUGAAAUAUGCUCAGAGUCGCAAAGUGAUUUCAUGCUCUUUAUUCAGCUCAUAGUGGUGAGGAGGAAUGAAUGAAUGUCCCCUCAAAGUAUCUGCUUUAUAUACAUUAUUUACACAAUGGGCUGCACAUGAUUGGUUAAUUCUGGAAUUCUACUGUAAGCCAAUCAGGUUGUGGAUUCACUUAUAUCUGGAGCAUGAUUGGGUGGUUCCUGCCAACCAAUCAUACUGCUGCAUUGUUCUUGGACCAAUCAGACUGCUGCAAUUUGGAUCCUAUUGUUCUAGGACCAAUCAGACUGCUGCAGUUUGGAUCCUAUUCAACUCAGUACAUAACACCGUAUCUUUGUAAGGAAGAAGGAUGGGGAGAAACCAGAAAUUGGCUAUGCCCUCAUGACCUUUCGUUGGCCAAACCCCCAUGACCUCUUAGAAGCUCCACCAAUUCUAGUGAGUGUCUGCUGCAACUGAAAUCGGGCAUGGGGAACCUGUGGCCGUCUAGCUGUUUCUGGACUUCAGCUCCAGUCAGCGCAGAGAAAGGUCAGGGAUGAUGAGAGUUGUAGUCACAACAUCUGGAAGGCCAAAGCUUUCCCAAACACAACAUUGUCCAGCAUCCUUUCCUCCCCAUCCCUCGGGUCAAGCAGGGCUCUUAGGUUCUGUUCGCCGCCUCCUCUUCCAUCAUCAUCGCCACCUAUUGUUAUCACCAUCAUCAUUAUUAAUUUCUACCCCACUUUUCUAAUUAAAACACAAAAUGCUGUGGACAAUUUAAAACACACCAUCAAUAUUAAAAUGAACACUCAGUUUAAAACAAUCAUGACAGCAACUGCUAUUAUUAAAAUUUAUUCAAUCUCCAUAGGCAUGGAAUACCGAUCUGCAGCUGCACUCAACAACUCAUUUCAAAGCACUGGGGUUUGGGGGUGGGGGGUGGGGGACACAGGAACAACUUAUAGGAUGAUGCAGACCAUUUUUUUGGAGAGGCCAAAGACAACCAAUGUAGAGCAGUCAUUCUCUGUUCCAGGUCAGAAACUCCAAGUUGGAAGGCGGCUGAGAGAGAGGGAAGUGUGGAAAGUAUCCCAGUAUAAAACCAGGCUUCAGGUUGUUUCCCAGUACACAUCUUUAGUCCUCAGCCAGGAGGACCAGCAGAAGUGCCCUUCAGGUACAUGCAGAGUCCCACCCAGAUCUCAAGGCAGACCAGUCCUUUUCCUCAGGAAUAGGAAGGUGUUAGCAUUUCUCUCAACACUGAAUAAUUUUUCUAAAACGAUGCUGGUGCUAAAGUCUGCGGGGACCUCACACCCUCGGCCCUGGAAGUCCUUUGCAAUUCCCACAUGUAUGGGAGAUGAAGAGUGGUGGCAGCGGCUGUUCUGCCUUUAUCUCUGGCAUCCUUAACGUAAUUUAUUGGAGUGAGAGAAGGGCUCUCCAGGAGCUCGCUUCAAGCUAUCUUAGCCAAUAAAACCGCUCCCCAUCUCCACUUCCAUGGUACAUUUUUAAAGGACAUUCCCCCCCAAAGAAACCUGGGAACUGUAGUUUGCCCUCACACAGCUACGGUUCCCAGCACACCUGGAGAAACUUUGGGGGAAAUAUAUAGUGUGUGUACACUUAUUGAGAAAUCUGUUUCCCUGAACCCAUGUAUUUAGGCUGAUGCAGUCAACCCAGGGCAGAAAACAAGAAGGGGAAGAUUGCGGGGCAGGGGAGCUGGAACCCAGGAAGUUUCUUAGACAGAAUCAGACCUCUGUGGUCCAUCCAGCUCGGUGUGGUUUGUUUGCACUGCCAGGCAGCCGCUCUGCAGAAUUUCAGCUCAGGCUGAAGGUGCCGAGAACCGAACCGGGACCCCCUUGCACGCCAAGAGUUUGCGUCACAGCGAAGCUACGGCUCCUCCCCUUGUAAGAGUUUUGCGGAAAGGACUUGGGUUGAGGAGGAAAAGAACGAUUAGCUGUUCAGGAAGGAAGAUGAUGUCAGGCUGCUGGGGAGAGAGGGAGGGAGGGAAAACCCUGGAAAAGGGAAAGGGGUCAUCGAUCCCUACCAAGAACUCCCAUCAUGCCCUUCUUCCUGUCUAAACCCGGGAGGUGGCUUUCCUGAAAUCCAUCUCUUUGGGCUGGGCAAUGGGGUCCCCUAAUCCCAGACGUGCGCUGCUUGGAUAGCUGCCACUCCUUACGGGCGAGGAGGAGGAGGAUGGUUUUCCUGGCUGGCUGCAUCCCCGCCGUUCCUCCACGUCAAAAUCCCCUCUCCCAUUGUACCUUCACAACAACCCUGCCAUGAGGCCGCCUGGGCUGGGCGGUCCCCACCCCAGCGAUCGCAGCACUAGGGUGGGAAGCGGAGUCUCUUUAUUGCAGCCCCACUCCCACAGCACGCCAGCUCUCUCCCCACAUGUGCUGGGGCUUGUUUUCAUUAUUUUUUAUGACUUCGCGCGAUCCCAGAGGCUGGGACCUGCCAUUCAAACGAGACCCGAGGCUGCGCUUUAUAUUUCCCCAAAGCAAGGUCGGAAAUAGAGGUAGUAAGCAAACGGCUGGAGGAAACGCUGGAGAAGCGGGCAGGACACACACACACACACACAGGCUUGGCGGCGGCAGCGGUGGCUCUUGAGAUUUCCUCCUCGGCGUGGAGGAGGGUCCCAGGCAUGUGCGCGCGCCCCCCCAAACUCCACGACCCCCUCCUGCCCCGCCAGGGAUCCGAGCCACGCGCUCUUGCACCCAGGCGCACCCUGGGGGAGGUGCCCGGCCGGAGACAAAAGCAUUUGUCGGGCCCCAGCCGGAACAAAAAAGAGCGAGCCCUGGGGAGGGGGGAAGCUGACCCCCUCCCUCCACCCCUCUCCCUCUCUCCUUCUGGGAUUUGGGGAGAAGGCAGCUCCCAGCGCGCUCCUCCUUAAUCCGCCUUCCGAAGCACAAAGCCCUCUCGGCUUUUUCACCCCCGAGAUGCAGCAGCCUGGAGAGGCCACUCACCUCUGGGUUGCAGCCCAGGCUGGGAGCGCGCAGGCUUCAAAGAUGGACUAGCGCAGCGCGCUCUCUCGCUCUCCCCCCGUCCUCCACCUUCCCCACCCCCCUUCCAGCCCCACAGCGGAGAAUCGCGGGGUUUCCCAGCCCACAAAGCCGCCUUUCCUCCCCACUCCAACGAAAGAGAGAGAAAUGGGGAUCCCCUCUUUGGCUCAGGAUACAGACCUCGAUCGUGGCAAUAUUUAAUGCCUUCCAGCCCCAGGGAGGGUUCCCUGCCUUCCUCGCCUCUUUGAUUCCCAGCGCGCCUUUCCCGGGUUGAGAAAUCGGAUCUCCCGAUUUAAUUUCUGCCCCCACCUCACCUCACCCUCUCCUGCCCCCCCCCAAGACCCACUGAACAUGAGGUGGUCUGCAGAGGCCGCAGGGGUGAGGGGGCCAAACGCCCUUGCAACCCCGGAAGCGAGUGCUCUCCCGCCCCCGACCGCUGCUUCCAUGUAAAAAGAAGCAUAAAGUUUCGGGCGACGGAGUUCCUCGGGACCCCAGCUCAGAUCCCGGGCGCCUUCUCCUGGCGAGCAAAUCCCCUCGACCUCCAGCGCGCUGAGCGAGUUUCCUCCAAGGCAAGGCCCGUGGAAAUCGAGGGGAUCGACCCCCGAGUAAAUGCCCCUUCGCGCUUUGCAAAGGGAAGGGAGUCCAGUUGUGUGCGUAUCCCGAAUUUCCCUUUUGUGCGCUAUCCUGACCUGUCUCAUAACCUUGUAAUCCACUGGAAUAUUUUCGGGACGACCUCUUUCUUUUUGGAUUACCCUACCGCCAACAUGGGUUUGUUUUUUUAGCCCUAGAUACAGCACAUUUAGAAUUUUUUUUUUUAAAAAGAAUAUUUUAUAUUAUUACUGCAGCACUAAGAGCCACAAUGUGGCUGCAACAUAGGCAAGGCUCCUUGAUCAGGUCAAGAGAUGGUCAGAAAGUCCUGGUUUGUUUUCUGCAAAUUUGCAGGGAAAUGGACGGUUCUAUUUUUUCCAUAGAUCGCGCGCGGGGAAGUUACUGAAAACCCUUCCGUUUGUUUCACGCCGAUUCACAACCAAGUGGCCUGUUUUUCACUCGCAUUUUUAAAGUGUGCAGAUCUUCAUCGAAAACCCGUCGGUUGUGUCUGGUUUUCCCAGACGAAUACCCGCUGUCUGGUUGUCUCUGGUAGAUAGAUAGAUAGAUAGAUAGAUAGAUAGAUAGAUAUGUACACACGUACAACUUGUCUUGCAUUUCCCUUUAAAUGAAUGGAAAUUUCUUCCAACAGGCGCCGAGGAGGCCUGCCUUCAACAAGGAAAACCAGGCCAGGUGCCGCGCCUGAGAGGGCUUCCCUCAUUCCCGAGCAGCCACGUCGUAGGAAAUGAACUAAAGGAAACGGACUGUGAAUUUGGGAUUUCCAUUGGCCUCCCGGACUUUUCUGUUUCCCCGGGUCGUAAAGGCGCCCAUGCAGCCUUACUGACUUCAGUGCCUCUUAGCUGAGAUUUUCAUCCCAGAGGGCAUCGCAUUUUUCUCCUAUUAAGCAUUCCAGUUGUAAAUAUAAUAAGCCGCCCGGGAUCUGGACUUAUCACAGACGUAGUCUGUGAAUUAAAAAUUACCGUCACCGUUACUGUUACUACUAGUAUCACUACUACCACC